rnacentral:tmRNA from 1 species
GGGGAUGACAUGGUUUCGACGGGGAUGAGGAUAGUCAGAACGGCAUUCCGUGCUCUCCGCGUUGCACGACUUGAGCACUAUGUGUUCGGGGUUCCUGAGAAAUCGGGAAUAAAAAGCGGAAAAAACAAUAAGUGCAAACUAUAACUAUGCACUGGCUGCCUAAUUAAAAAAGGGCAACCCAUCCUAUGCAGUUAUGCCUGAUGGAUUGCAAUAGGGUGUCGAAUUAAUCAGGAUCGCUCUUGAAUAUUCUCGGGAUUCAGGAGCUAAAUCCGCCGAAGGCGGACUGAGAUAGUCUGCUCCUGUAGUGUUUACUCCUUAUAGUGCAGACGAAAUCAAAUGAGUAAACUAAGAAUGUAGAAGUUCUGGUGGUCUUCUCUUCGGACCGGGGUUCGAUUCCCCGCAUCUCCACAU